GGGAUAACCGCUGAAGGCAUCUAAGCGGGAAGCCCCCUUCAAGAUAAGGUCUCCCUGAGGACUUGAUCCUCCUAAAGGGCCCUUGAAGACCACAAGGUUGAUAGGUCGGAUGUGGAAGCGCAGCAAUGCGUUGAGCUAACCGAUACUAAUGACCCGUGAGGCUUGACCAU
rnacentral:rRNA from 1 species